rnacentral:rRNA from 1 species
UACAGAGGGGGGCAAGCGUUGUUCGGAAUUACUGGGCGUAAAGGGCGCGUAGGCGGCCUUCUAAGUCGAACGUGAAAUCCCCGGGCUCAACCCGGGAACUGCGUCCGAUACUGGAAGGCUUGAAUCCGGGAGAGGGAUGUGGAAUUCCAGGUGUAGCGGUGAAAUGCGUAGAUAUCUGGAGGAACACCGGUGGCGAAGGCGACAUCCUGGACCGGUAUUGACGCGUGAGGCGCGAAAGCCAGGGGAGCAAAGCGGG